CAAGAGCUCAGAUUUGAAAUCGUGCUUUGCGGCACGAGUUGUAGAUUGCAGGUUGGAGUCUGUGUGGAAGGCGGUGUCCAAGUCCCUUGGAACAGGGCGCCCAGGAGGGUGAGAGCCCCGUGGGAUGCCGGCGGAAGCAGUGAGGCCCUUCUGACGAGUCGAGUUGUUUGGGAAUGCAGCUCCAAGCGGGUGGUAAAUUCCAUCUAAGGCUAAAUACUGGCGAGAGACCGAUAGCGAACAAGUACUGUGAAGGAAAGAUGAAAAGCACUUUGAAAAGAGAGUGAAACAGCACGUGAAAUUGUUGAAAGGGAAGGGUAUUGCGCCCGACAUGGGGAUUGCGCACCGCUGCCUCUCGUGGGCGGCGCUCUGGGCUUUCCCUGGGCCAGCAUCGGUUCUUGCUGCAGGAGAAGGGGUUCUGGAACGUGGCUCUUCGGAGUGUUAUAGCCAGGGCCAGAUGCUGCGUGCGGGGACCGAGGACUGCGGCCGUGUAGGUCACGGAUGCUGGCAGAACGGCGCAACACCGCCCGUCUUGA
rnacentral:rRNA from 1 species